GACGAACGCUGGCGGCGUGCUUAACACAUGCAAGUCGAACGGAAAGGCCCUGCUUUUGUGGGGUGCUCGAGUGGCGAACGGGUGAGUAACACGUGAGUAACCUGCCCUUGACUUUGGGAUAACUUCAGGAAACUGGGGCUAAUACCGGAUAGGAGCUCCUGCUGCAUGGUGGGGGUUGGAAAGUUUCGGCGGUUGGGGAUGGACUCGCGGCUUAUCAGCUUGUUGGUGGGGUAGUGGCUUACCAAGGCUUUGACGGGUAGCCGGCCUGAGAGGGUGACCGGCCACAUUGGGACUGAGAUACGGCCCAGACUCCUACGGGAGGCAGCAGUGGGGAAUAUUGCACAAUGGGCGGAAGCCUGAUGCAGCAACGCCGCGUGCGGGAUGACGGCCUUCGGGUUGUAAACCGCUUUCGCCUGUGACGAAGCGUGAGUGACGGUAAUGGGUAAAGAAGCACCGGCUAACUACGUGCCAGCAGCCGCGGUGAUACGUAGGGUGCGAGCGUUGUCCCGAUUUAUUGGGCGUAAGGGCUCGUAGGUGGUUGAUCGCGUCGGAAGUGUAAUCUUGGGGCUUAACCCUGAGCGUGCUUUCGAUACGGGUUGACUUGAGGAAGGUAGGGGAGAAUGGAAUUCCUGGUGGAGCGGUGGAAUGCGCAUAUAUCAGGAGGAACACCAGUGGCGAAGGCGGUUCUCUGGGCCUUUCCUGACGCUGAGGAGCGAAAGCGUGGGGAGCGAACAGGCUUAGAUACCCUGGUAGUCCACGCUGUAAACGGUGGGUACUAGGUGUGGGGUCCAUUCCACGGGUUCCGUGCCGUAGCUAACGCUUUAAGUACCCCGCCUGGGGAGUACGGCCGCAAGGCUAAAACUCAAAGGAAUUGACGGGGCCCCGCACAAGCGGCGGAGCAUGCGGAUUAAUUCGAUGCAACGCGUAGAACCUUACCUGGGUUUGACAUGGAUCGGGAGCGCUCAGAGAUGGGUGUGCCUCUUUUGGGGUCGGUUCACAGGUGGUGCAUGGCUGUCGUCAGCUCGUGUCGUGAGAUGUUGGGUUAAGUCCCGCAACGAGCGCAACCCUUGUUCACUGUUGCCAGCACGUUAUGGUGGGGACUCAGUGGAGACCGCCGGGGUCAACUCGGAGGAAGGUGGGGAUGACGUCAAGUCAUCAUGCCCCUUAUGUCCAGGGCUUCACGCAUGCUACAAUGGCUGGUACAGAGAGUGGCGAGCCUGUGAGGGUGAGCGAAUCUCGGAAAGCCGGUCUCAGUUCGGAUUGGGGUCUGCAACUCGACCUCAUGAAGUCGGAGUCGCUAGUAAUCGCAGAUCAGCAACGCUGCGGUGAAUACGUUCCCGGGGCU
rnacentral:rRNA from 1 species